AUUGAACGCUGGCGGCAGGCCUAACACAUGCAAGUCGAGCGGAUGAAGGGAGCUUGCUCCUGGAUUCAGCGGCGGACGGGUGAGUAAUGCCUAGGAAUCUGCCUGGUAGUGGGGGAUAACGUCCGGAAACGGGCGCUAAUACCGCAUACGUCCUGAGGGAGAAAGUGGGGGAUCUUCGGACCUCACGCUAUCAGAUGAGCCUAGGUCGGAUUAGCUAGUUGGUGGGGUAAAGGCCUACCAAGGCGACGAUCCGUAACUGGUCUGAGAGGAUGAUCAGUCACACUGGAACUGAGACACGGCCCAGACUCCUACGGGAGGCAGCAGUGGGGAAUAUUGGACAAUGGGCGAAAGCCUGAUCCAGCCAUGCCGCGUGUGUGAAGAAGGUCUUCGGAUUGUAAAGCACUUUAAGUUGGGAGGAAGGGCAGUAAGUUAAUACCUUGCUGUUUUGACGUUACCAACAGAAUAAGCGCCGGCUAACUUCGUG
rnacentral:rRNA from 1 species